GUAGGUGGCAAGCGUUGUCCGGAAUUAUUGGGCGUAAAGCGCGCACAGGCGGUUCUUUAAGUCUGAUGUGAAAGCCCACGGCUCAACCGUGGAGGGUCAUUGGAAACUGGAGAACUUGAGUACAGAAGAGGAAAGCGGAAUUCCACGUGUAGCGGUGAAAUGCGUAGAGAUGUGGAGGAACACCAGUGGCGAAGGCGGCUUUCUGGUCUGUAACUGACGCUGAGGCGCGAAAGCGUGGGGAGCAAACAGGAUUAGAUACCCUGGUAGUCCACGCCGUAAACGAUGAGUGCUAAGUGUUAGGGGGUUUCCGCCCCCCUUAGUGCUGCAGCUAACGCAUUAAGCACUCCGCCUGGGAGUACGGCCGCAAGGCUG
rnacentral:rRNA from 1 species